rnacentral:rRNA from 1 species
UCCGUAGGCGGGCUAAUAAGUCAGGGGUGAAAUCCCACAGCUCAACUGUGGAACUGCCUUUGAUACUGUUAGUCUUGAGUUAUAUGGAAGUAGAUAGAACGUGUAGUGUAGCGGUGAAAUGCAUAGAGAUUACACAGAAUACCGAUUGCGAAGGCAGUCUACUACGUAUAUACUGACGCUAAUGGACGAAAGCGUGGGGAGCGAACAGGAUUAGAUACCCUGGUAGUCC